UGACCAUAUGGGAGUCCAGUGUCUCAACCACCAUGCACCUGCCGGCCCCAAGAUUCUGCAUUUUUAACAAGCUCCCAGGCGAUGGCUGAU
rnacentral:miRNA from 1 species